CGGCUCCGCCUUCGUGCCGGGCACCUGGAGGCCUCGGUACCAAAAGAGGCUGCGCCGGACGCCGAGCUCCCGGGGCGCCGCCGGGGCGGAGGUUGGCGUCCUCCCGUAGAGCAGGAGCAUGUGUAUGAAAAAGAAGACUCUAACUUGCCAGCCUCACUCUGAGGAGUGAAACGCACGCAACAGCGAGACUCCUCCUAAAAGCGUGGCAUGGAAGGCCCUCACAGAGGAACAUCUUCCAGACGCUUCCUUCACGACCUUUCAAGAUUUUAUUUAUUUAUUUGACAGAGAGAGA